GUCAGCCAGCACUUCUAGUGAUCCAAAAGUUGAGCCUGUUCAGUUACAAAGAAAAAAGCAAGUUAGUCACCCUAAUCGGUUACGUUUGUUGUGCUGGGUAUCUCGCCCGACAAAAAAUCGUCAGGCAACAUACCUGUAGUUGCAUCUUGAGUAGCCUGCGUGAAGGCUGUGAAGCUACAUCCUGAGUUGCAAUGCGGGCAAACGCUUUAUCUUUAA